AUUCUCUUAGUAUUAAUCAGUACAAUUGACUUCCAAUCAUUUAGCUCUGGAACAACCCAGAAGAGAAUA
rnacentral:tRNA from 1 species